rnacentral:rRNA from 1 species
GGUGAGUAAUGCCUAGGAAAUUGCCCUGAUGUGGGGGAUAACCAUUGGAAACGAUGGCUAAUACCGCAUGAUGCCUACGGGCCAAAGAGGGGGACCUUCGGGCCUCUCGCGUCAGGAUAUGCCUAGGUGGGAUUAGCUAGUUGGUGAGGUAAUGGCUCACCAAGGCGACGAUCCCUAGCUGGUCUGACAGGAUGAUCAGCCACACUGGAACUGAUACACGGUCCAGACUCCUACGGGAGGCAGCAGUGGGGAAUAUUGCACAAUGGGCGCAAGCCUGAUGCAGCCAUGCCGCGUGUGUGAAGAAGGCCUUCGGGUUGUAAAGCACUUUCAGUCGUGAGGAAGGUGGUAGUGUUAAUAGCACUAUCAUUUGACGUUAGCGACAGAAGAAGCACCGGCUAACUCCGUGCCAGCAGCCGCGGUAAUACGGAGGGUGCGAGCGUUAAUCGGAAUUACUGGGCGUAAAGCGCAUGCAGGUGGUUUGUUAAGUCAGAUGUGAAAGCCCGGGGCUCAACCUCGGAAUAGCAUUUGAAACUGGCAGACUAGAGUACUGUAGAGGGGGGUAGAAUUUCAGGUGUAGCGGUGAAAUGCGUAUAGAUCUGAAGGAAUACCGGUGGCGAAGGCGGCCCCCUGGACAGAUACUGACACUCAGAUGCGAAAGCGUGGGGAGCAAACAGGAUUAGAUACCCUGGUAGUCCACGCCGUACACGAUGUCUACUUGGAGGUUGUGGCCUUGAGCCGUGGCUUUCGGAGCUAACGCGUUAAGUAGACCGCCUGGGGAGUACGGUCGCAAGAUUAA